CAAAGCUAGCAACCCCAUUAUGCUUGUCACAGACCCAUCCAGAAUGCUUCACUAUAUCUAAUGCUAGGGUUGGCUCUGAAAAAAGUAAGAACUUCGCUAAAUACGAGGCAAUGGGAAGGAAAGUGACUGCGUAACACAAAAGGAAAGUGACUGCAUGCCACAAAAGCAUAACAUCUAAACUGACUUACUAGCUUCAUCUAUUUAAUUGGCUUAUGAAAACUACAAAACCAAACAUUGCCUAGUCAGUUGAAAGCAGAAACAAAUGCCUUUGAUGUCAGUGUCGCAUCAGAGAAGGAGAGAAGGAAAGGUGAUGCAGAAGAGUAUGGUCUGAACAAGAUCUGAGGCAGCUGCUAGCAAAACAUGAACUUAGUCUGGAAAGACAGAAAGGAGUGAAGAAACUCAAGAUGGGCCUACCUUCACUCUCUUUGGUAGCAGAGGGAAAGGAAGAGAAACUGGGUCACACUUUUAAGAUUCUGUUAUUAUAGCUUAUAUACCCAAUAAAGAUAUAAGCUUACAACAGUUUGCUUAGUGACCGUUCGAAGUUAUGGCACCAAAAAAAGUGACUUAUGACCAUUUUUCACACUUGUGACUGCUGCAGCAUCCCCAUGGUCAUGUGAUUUACAUUUGGAUGCUUGACAACUGACUCAUAUUUAUGACGGUUGCAGUGUUCCAGAGUCGUAUGAUCCCCUUUUGUGAA